rnacentral:rRNA from 1 species
GGAGGAUUUAGCAGUAAAUUAAGAGUAGAGUGCUUAAUUGAACCAGGCCAUAAAGCGCGCACACACCGCCCGUCACUCCUCUCAAAUAUAUUUAAGGAAUAUCCUAACUAAACGCCCUAAUAUUUAUAUAGAGAGGAUAAGUCGUAACAUGGUAAGCGUACUGGAAGGUGCGCUUGGAUAAAU